CUACGGGCGGCUGCAGUAGGGAAUAUUGCGCAAUGGGGGAAACCCUGACGCAGCAACGCCGCGUGGGUGAAGAAGGCCUUCGGGUUGUAAAGCCCUGUCAGGAGGGAAGAAGUGCGAAUCGGAACAAUACCCGGUUCGUUUGACGGUACCUCCAAAGGAAGCACCGGCCAACUCCGUGCCAGCAGCCGCGGUAAUACGGAGGGUGCAAGCGUUGUUCGGAUUCACUGGGCGUAAAGCGCGUGCAGGCGGUCUUUUAGGUCAGAUGUGAAAGCCCCCGGCUCAACCGGGGAAGUGCAUUUGAAACCGGAAGACUUGAGUACGGGAGAGGGAAGCAGAAUUCCUAGUGUAGAGGUGAAAUUCGUAGAUAUUAGGAGGAAUACCUGUGGCGAAGGCGGCUUCCUGGACCGAUACUGACGCUGAGACGCGAAAGCGUGGGUAGCAAACAGGAUUAGAUACCCGAGUAGUC
rnacentral:rRNA from 1 species